UGGGGAAUAUUGUGCAAUGGGGGAAACCCUGACACAGCGACGCCGCGUGAGCGAAGAAGGCCUUCGGGUCGUAAAGCUCAAUAGUAUGGGAAGAAAUAAAUGACGGUACCAUACGAAAGCCCCGGCUAACUACGUGCCAGCAGCCGCGGUAAUACGUAGGGGGCGAGCGUUGUCCGGAAUUACUGGGCGUAAAGAGCACGUAGGCGGCUAUAAAAGUCAGAUGUGAAAAACCUGGGCUCAACCGAGGGUGUGCAUCUGAAACUAAAUAGCUUGAGUCAAGGAGAGGGGAGCGGAAUUCCUGGUGUAGCGGUGAAAUGCGUAGAGAUCAGGAAGAAUACCAGUGGCGAAAGCGGCUCUCUGGACUUGAACUGACGCUGAGGUGCGAAAGCGUGGGGAGCAAACAGG
rnacentral:rRNA from 1 species